UACGAAGGGGGCUAGCGUUGCUCGGAAUCACUGGGCGUAAAGCGCACGUAGGCGGAUUGCUAAGUCAGGGGUGAAAUCCUGGAGCUCAACUCCAGAACUGCCUUUGAUACUGGCGAUCUUGAGUCCGGGAGAGGUGAGUGGAACUGCGAGUGUAGAGGUGAGAUUCGUAGAUAUUCGCAAGAACACCAGUGGCGAAGGCGGCUCACUGGCCCGGUACUGACGCUGAGGUGCGAAAGCGUGGGGAGCAAACGGG
rnacentral:rRNA from 1 species